CCUCAGUAAGGGCGACUGAAACGGGAACAGCCCAGCGCAUAACCUCGCGGUCUUCCCGGCCGUCGAGGGGUGUUGCGUUUCGGUGGAUCCGUCCCGCUCGAGCCGCUUACCGCCUAAGUCAUUGCUUGAAAGCAGCCCCAAGGAGGGUGAUAGGCCCGUGUGGCGGCGCCUGUAAAAAGGGUCAAGGCGGCCCGGGCGGAGGGAUCUUCACCGUAGAGUCGGGUUG
rnacentral:rRNA from 1 species